rnacentral:rRNA from 1 species
GUAACAAGGUCUCCGUUGGUGAACCAGCGGAGGGAUCAUUACCGAGUUUACAACUCCCAAACCCCUGUGAACAUACCUUAUGUUGCCUCGGCGGAUCAGCCCGCGCCCCGUAAAAAGGGACGGCCCGCCGCAGGAACCUUAAACUCUGUUUUUAGUGGAACUUCUGAGUAUAAAAAACAAAUAAAUCAAAACUUUCAACAACGGAUCUCUUGGUUCUGGCAUCGAUGAAGAACGCAGCAAAAUGCGAUAAGUAAUGUGAAUUGCAGAAUUCAGUGAAUCAUCGAAUCUUUGAACGCACAUUGCGCCCGCCAGUAUUCUGGCGGGCAUGCCUGUUCGAGCGUCAUUUCAACCCUCAAGCCCAGCUUGGUGUUGGGAGCUGCAGUCCUGCUGCACUCCCCAAAUACAUUGGCGGUCACGUCGAGCUUCCAUAGCGUAGUAAUUUACAUAUCGUUACUGGUAAUCGUCGCGGCCACGCCGUUAAACCCCAACUUCUGAAUGUUGACCUCGGAUCAGGUAGGAAUACCCGCUGAACUUAAGCAUAUCA